rnacentral:lncRNA from 1 species
CCUGGGACUUCAUUUCUGCUUUUCUUUCUUCUUUCUCAUGACCCUUUUUAUCUUUUCAUCUAUUUCGGUUCAAAGAUGUGGAUGAUAGUUGUGGAUCGCUUCAAUAUUUUUGAUUGAUUUCUUGAUUCUUGGCAAAGUGGCAAUCUUUUUCUCCUUUUCAAUUAAUUUCUUUCUUUCUUUCCUCACCUUCUGGAUUUCGAAUUUUAUUUUUAUUUUUCUCUGGUCGUUUCUUGUUGAUGGAAGUUGACAGAGAAGAAUCCAGAGAAGAAGAAGAAGAAGCCGAUGAGAACUUUACUGGGUCUAUUAGGUGGAAAGUUUGCCUUUCAUUUUAGUUGACUAGAUCUGCCACCCCCUUUUCUUUCUGCAAAUUUUCUGGUUCGGCAUGGACAAUGGUCUGCUCAAAUCCACCCUCAUUCACAUCCUGGAAUCUCUGUCGGUAAUUGGAGUUUGUGAUUUGCUUCAUUAAAUAAUGACGGUUAGAG